rnacentral:rRNA from 1 species
UACGGAGGGUGCAAGCGUUGUUCGGAAUCAUUGGGCGUAAAGCGCGUGUAGGCGGCUUGGCAAGUCGGUUGUGAAAGCCCGGGGCCCAACCCCGGAACUGCAUCUGAAACUGCCUGGCUAGAGUCCCGGAGAGGAAGGCAGAAUUCCCGGUGUAGGGGUGAAAUCCGUAGAUAUCGGGAGGAAUACCAGCGGCGAAGGCGGCCUUCUGGACGGUGACUGACGCUGAGACGCGAAAGCGUGGGGAGCAAACAGGAUUAGAAACCCCCGUAGUCC